GGAAGAAAAGUCCUAUCAAACAUCACGUCUAAAGCCUCCUGUUGUUGGCAUCCUGGCUGCUGAUAUCUGCAUCUAUUAUUUAAGUAUAACUGCAAAAUGUAAAAUCAUCUCCAGCUAUUUUUGCUAAAAAUGCAUCAAACUGUUGUUCAUUUCCGAUUUUUUAAAUUGCUAAACUCUCCGCUUUUCUUCUUAUACCCUUCAUAGGAUUCAGUAUUGUAGACUGCUCAUUUUAAAUCACCAUUAUCUGUGCGCUGUGUGCAUCUAUUUUCAUCAACAGCAUCCGACAACGAAGGCAGCAGCUUCCAUAAUACUCUGUAGAAGUAAUUGAAAGGACUGCUUGAUUUGCUCCUGCUGCAGCCUGGUGUUCAUCGUCGGUGAUCAUCAUUAUUGCAGCCGCUAUCACCGAUGCAGAAGCACUGGUGGGUAAAUGUUGUCUUACAACAGCGGUCAUCAUACCACGCAGAUUCUUCGGAGCAUGAUCUUCGGCAAGCGAUGCAAUCGAUGGUACUGCAGAUCCCGUCAAUGCCUGUUGUCUACCGAUCUUCAUGCCUGAUUCAUGCGGUAGAGCAUCAGCAACCGGUACCACUGAUGGCGCAGCAGUACUAGUUGACGGUUGCUGUCCAUGUUGCUGGCCUAACGGACGGAAUGGUGCAGGAACACCAGGUAAUGUUGACCGAUGAUGAUUAUUAUCACCGGCAUUCGAGACCAGCGCUGACACUGCAUCCGUUACCUUGAGCUGUUCAACAACACGGACUGGCAUUCUUUGUUGACUCGCGCUGACCGACCACUGAAUCCAUCGAUGGCACUGCACUUGUUGUCGGAAGUUGUCGAACAACACGGACCGAUGGCACUGCACUUGUCGUGGGAAGUUGUCCAACAACACGGACUGGUACAUCUGACUGACGAAACGAUUACACAUCCGCAAUGGCCGAAGGCAUCACUUGUAAAGAAAGUGGCACUUGAGACUCUUCCACAACUUCCUUUUAUACUGUAUUUCGAGUUGCCAGUGCGCAGACUUAUGAAUGAGUGGGAGGAGUCUAAGGACUUGUGAAGAAGGAAUGGGAUAUGGUGUGAUUUCGAUGAUUAUUGUGCCUGUUGCUUGUACUACCGAAUGUCGUCAAGCUACUCAUCACAUACCCGCGUUUUAUGUACCCAUUCUGGGUGUUUCCGGGUUACUCGCCAUCGCGCUGUAGUCGGAUCAUACUGCACCUGUCCUGAUUCGAUUAACGCCACCGCAAAGACAAAAUUAGAGCACGCGUUUGUAUUCCUCAUCCUCCGGCACCGUCUGGAGAAUGUGGGAGUCACUGCUCUAUAAAAACCACCGGACCACAAACUGGAAACAGCGGAAAACCCCGUGGGUCACCGGGCACCAACAUGCAUAUCGGCUGAAACUUGGAUCCAUGCUAAAUUGAAGCAAAGUUGAACUAAUAUGCCGUGCGAAAAAGCAAAAUAAUUAUUUCAUUUUAAUGUUUAUUAAGCUAAACCGACAUUAUAUUUUUCAUCUAAAACGUUAUUGUUGUGUAUUUUCUAAUCGCGUUUAGGCGUCGUGUAUCAGAUCGCAACUGCUAAUAAUUUCGUCGUGUGAGGCGGACUGUUAUGGAUGUACCAAAUCUUCAGUGAUGAUGAAUGCGUUCAUGCAUCUACGAGCCGGUAACUGGCGGUAUCCAGAUCAUCGUCGUACUGUUAGCUUACCUAAGCUACCGAAAUUAGCGACACUGUAAAAUCUGUGCUGUGAGAAUUACAGCUGCCGUACGAAGCGCAGCAUAUUGGAGCAAGCCCAAUCGGACAGCAACCACCUGGAGCAAACGUACACCGGACGAAUGGACGUGGUAGACGCGUUAUGAUUGCAAGGCGAUACUUGCGCUCUGAAAAUGCUAGCACAGAGUUUCAGAUAAACCGUUCUCAUCAAUGCCAUACCAUGUACGGUCGGUUAGUUACACUUCAUCACGAAGGACAAUCACAUCUCGGUAACGGAAUGCUGCCAACACGAUGAAGCUGGCUUAGUCCUCGAUGACGACAACAAAUUGUUUGAACAUGUUUAAUAAAACAAACAUGUUGUUUUGGUUUCUCAUAAUUAAUG